UGUCGAGGGAAGCACAGGUGGGUAGGAAACACGUCACUCUGCCUCUCACUCCCGCGGGCGAUACAAAGGUGUACGUUAUCGGCGCGUCAGGAGUGUUAUUCAAGUGAUCCUCUGCGUUUUCCUAGUGUACCGUUACUUAAGUACCUCUAGUUCUUGUGCCCAUGACAUCAGGAAACCUGUGUGCGCUCAGACAGGGGAAGGAUGUUGGUGUGGCCUCGUCGCUUCGGAAUGAAGAGAACAAUGACCAGAAUUUCCCCAAUCUCCAGUGCACUGUGAGUGUACAUGUUCAUUAUAGCAAUAUUUAUAAUGGUGACUAGCAUACUCAUUGUCCCCUUCCCUUUCUUUCCCAUCCUCUCUUUUCUUCCCUUCCUCUGACAUUCCAUCCUCCGAUUUGUCUUUUUUUUU